AGGCUCACCUUGAGCUUGCAUCGGGUACGGGCAGACUAGAGUGUGGUAGGGGUGACUGGAAUUCCUGGUGUAGCGGUGGAAUGCGCAGAUAUCAGGAGGAGCACCGAUGGCGCAGGCAGGUCACUGGGCCACUACUGACGCUGAGGAGCGAGAGCAUGGGGAGCGAACAGGAUUAGAUACCCUGGUAGUCCAUGCCGUAAACGUUGGGCACUAGGUGUGGGGCUCAUUCCACGAGUUCCGCGCCGCAGCUAACGCAUUAAGUGCCCCGCCUGGGGAGUACGGCCGCAAGGCUAAAACUCAAAGGAAUUGACGGGGGCCCGCACAAGCGGCGGAGCAUGCGGAUUAAUUCGAUGCAACGCGAAGAACCUUACCAAGGCUUGACAUACACCGGAAUCAUGCAGAGAUGUGUGCGUCUUCGGACUGGUGUACAGGUGGUGCAUGGUUGUCGUCAGCUCGUGUCGUGAGAUGUUGGGUUAAGUCCCGCAACGAGCGCAACCCUCGUCCUAUGUUGCCAGCACGUUAUGGUGGGGACUCAUAGGAGACUGCCGGGGUCAGCUCGGAGGAAGGUGGGGAUGACGUCAAAUCAUCAUGCCCCUUAUGUCUUGGGCUUCACGCAUGCUACAAUGGCCGGUACAAAGGGCUGCGAUACCGCGAGGUGGAGCGAAUCCCAAAAAGCCGGUCUCAGUUCGGAUUGGGGUCUGCAACUCGACCCCAUGAAGUCGGAGUCGCUAGUAAUCGCAGAUCAGCAACGCUGCGGUGAAUACGUUCCCGGGCCUUGUACACACCGCCCGUCAAGUCACGAAAGUCGGUAACACCCGAAGCCGGUGGCCUAACCCCUUGUGGGAUGGAGCCGUCGAAGGUGGGAUGGC
rnacentral:rRNA from 1 species